CGGCGUGCCUAAUACAUGCAAGUCGAACGGUCUUUCUAUGGAAGCUUGCUUCCACUGAGAAGAUAGUGGCGAACGGGUGAGUGACACGUGGGUAACCUGCCCAUAAGAGGGGGAUAACAUCCGGAAACGGGUGCUAAUACCGCAUAGUUUUCUUGAUCGCAUGAUCGGGAAAGGAAAGACGGCCUUUGUGCUGUCGCUUAUGGAUGGACCCGCGGCGUAUUAGUUAGUUGGUGAGGUAACGGCUCACCAAGACGAUGAUACGUAGCCGACCUGAGAGGGUGAUCGGCCACAUUGGGACUGAGACACGGCCCAAACUCCUACGGGAGGCAGCAGUAGGGAAUCUUCCGCAAUGGACGAAAGUCUGACGGAGCAACGCCGCGUGAGUGAAAGAAGGUUUUCGGAUCGUAAAACUCUGUUGUCAGAGAAGAACAAGUUGGAGGGUAACUGCUCCAGCCUUGACGGUAUCUGACCAGAAAGCCACGGCUAACUACGUGCCAGCCGCUGC
rnacentral:rRNA from 1 species